rnacentral:sRNA from 1 species
GGACAUGAGAUCAAUCUGCAUGGGGUCUCUGUCCCUCCAGCGAUCACCAGGGUUUACUUGGCUGAUCUGGCUGGCUAGGUCAUUCUCCUGUCCCAUGUAUACUCCCCAAGUGUCCUUUUUGAAGUCGCAAUCUCAAUCAGAGAAGAGGACCAUUGAUGAUUGUUGGUGAUGUGCAUGCUACUCAGCUCCCUUGUUUGGGUUUCCUCAUAGGCUCUCAUAGGUUCCAAAAGUCACCUCUAGGACAGAUCUAAUGCCAUGCCAUGGUGGUUGGGCAAGAUGUGGAGAUCUUGGGUGAAACAAUAUAGCCAGUAAACACUCAGUAUAUACCUAUACUACUAU